rnacentral:lncRNA from 1 species
GCUUCUUUCACUCGCUCACUCUAUACACGCAUUCAUUUCCUCAAAGCGAAUACUUAUUCUCACGCCGAAUGGUGGACCAACGGAAGACCAUCAGACUUGUUUGGCGAAGGAAAGAACAGAGAUUGACUGUUAUUUACAAAACGAACCGGCUAGGUCUAACCAUGGGCGGAUCUAUAUAAGGACUAGGGAUAGCCCGGGAUACCCCUCAACUUUCUUGACGAAGUAUAAUUUUUUUUAUUUUUUUCCGUUUUAUGUGUUCGGAGAUCCUUGGGCAAACAUUAGGAUACCCCUGAAUGCAAUAUUAGAAAGAGAUGAGAAGAAAACGAAAUGUUUUUUUAAGAAGAGUUAAAUAACCAUAGUUGAGCUCUCGAAGUUGCAGAAACCUUGAUGAAGAAGAAGAGUGGUUUUUAAAACCAAAAUGUUCUUAUUAAAAACAUUUAUCCAACCACGUGACCACUCUACCUAAUUUAUUCAAAGUUUUCUAUUUUCUUUAUUAUUUGUAAAAUUGUCAGUCAACUUGAUGUCCAUUAUUUAUUUAUUUUCUAUAUUUAUGUAUUUCUUUUUUUAAUUUUUUUUAUUAUUAAAUUAUACUGAAUAUUAUUAUUAUUAUUCUAUU